rnacentral:rRNA from 1 species
GACGAACGCUGGCGGCGUGCUUAACACAUGCAAGUCUAACGGAAAGGCCCUGCUGUUGUGGGGUGCUCGAGUGGCGAACGUGUUAGUAACACGUGAGUAACCUGCCCUUGACUUUGGGAUAACUUCAGGAAACUGGGGCUAAUACCGGAUAGGAGCUCCUGCUGCAUGGUGGGAGUUGGAUAGCUUCGGCGGUUGGGGAUGCACUAGCGGCUUAUCAGCUAGUUGAUGGGCUAGUGGCUUACCAAGACUUUGACGGGUAGCCGGCCUGAGAGGGUGACCGGACAGAUAGGGAAGAAGAUACGGCCCAGAAUCCUACGGGAAGAAGCAGUGGGGAAGAUUGAACAAUGGGAGGAAGAAUGAUGCAGCAACGCGGCGUACGAGAUGAAGGAAUUCGAGUUGUAAACCGCUUUGGCCUGAGACGAAGAGUGAGUGACGGUAAUGGGUAAAGAAGCACCGGAUAACUACGUG